rfam:Schistosoma haematobium scaffold839_8, whole genome shotgun sequence.
AUUCAGCUGACGAGUCCCAAUGUCGUGUUUGAAUGAACAAAUGAUUCCUUUGUACUUGUUGAAUGCUUGAUUUCGAAUUCUAAAUACAGUACAUUCGCUUGUGCUUAUCUACUACUUCUUGAUCCAAUUACGUUAUUUCUGGAAUUCUUAGUUCAUACUAUAACUCAAAGACUCCUAAUUAUCACACCCGAGUAGGAUGAAACGCGCGUCCUGAAU